rnacentral:rRNA from 1 species
UGAGACCCGGCCCGAACUCUACCGGAGGCAGCAGUGGGGAAUAUGGACAAUGGGGGCAACCCUGAUCCAGCCAUGCCGCGUGUGUGAAGAAGGCCCUCGGGUUGUAAAGCACUUUCAGCGAGGAAGAACGCCUAGUGGUUAAUACCCAUUAGGAAAGACAUCACUCGCAGAAGAAGCACCGGCUAACUCCGUGCCAGCAGCCGCGGUAAUACGGAGGGUGCAAGCGUUAAUCGGAAUUACUGGGCGUAAAGCGCGCGUAGGUGGCUUGAUAAGCCGGUUGUGAAAGCCCCGGGCUCAACCUGGGAACGGCAUCCGGAACUGUCAGGCUAGAGUGCAGGAGAGGAAGGUAGAAUUCCCGGUGUAGCGGUGAAAUGCGUAGAGAUCGGGAGGAAUACCAGUGGCGAAGGCGGCCUUCUGGACUGACACUGACACUGAGGUGCGAAAGCGUGGGUAGCAAACAGGAUUAGAUACCCUGGUAGUCCACGCCGUAAACGAUGUCGACCAGCCGUUGGGUGCCUAGCGCACUUUGUGGCGAAGUUAACGCGAUAAGUCGACCGCCUGGGGAGUACGGCCGCAAGGUUAAAACUCAAAUGAAUUGACGGGGGCCCGCACAAGCGGUGGAGCAUGUGGUUUAAUUCGAUGCAACGCGAAGAACCUUACCUACCCUUGACAUCGACAGAAGCCGAGAGAGAUCUUGGUGUGCCUUCGGGAACUGUCAGACAGGUGCUGCAUGGCUGUCGUCAGCUCGUGUUGUGAAAUGUUGGGUUAAGUCCCGUAACGAGCGCAACCCUUGUCCUUAUUUGCCAGCGCGUAAUGGCGGGAACUCUAAGGAGACUGCCGGUGACAAACCGGAGGAAGGUGGGGACGACGUCAAGUCAUCAUGGCCCUUACGGGUAGGGCUACACACGUGCUACAAUGGCCGGUACAAAGGGCAGCGAGCUCGCGAGAGUCAGCGAAUCCCUUAAAGCCGGUCUCAGUCCGGAUCGGAGUCUGCAACUCGACUCCGUGAAGUCGGAAUCGCUAGUAAUCGGAAUCAGAA